AUCACCUAGCAAUCUUGUUAAAAUGCAGAUUCUGAGUCAUUAGGCCUGGAUUGGGGCCUCAGAUUCUGUAUUUCUAACAAAUUCCCAGGUAAUGCCAA
rnacentral:pre_miRNA from 1 species